UUUUCAAUAACCUUUUUGUUCAUUUUUUCUCUGGCACCGUUGCCAAUAAAGGUUGGUGAAUUGAAGAGACACUUUACACCUCCACUAAAGAAAAUAGUUCCAAAGCACAUUUGAAUAAGGACGACUAUAUUUAUUUAUUUUCAUUGAGAACAUUUGUGAGUGCUACAUCGGUUUUACAUUUGUUAAACCGAUGUAGCAUCUCAAAAUUAAUCUUGUGUUUCUUGGAAAACGUACAAUUGUUAACUGCGGAUGGAUAUGCGGUUUCAAAAUCAAACGUAGUCUCAUCAGUCCGUUGGCGUGAAGUCUGCAGGUUGGCUGGCCUUCUACUAAAGAAGCUGUAAGUACACCUCUGUUUUGUCUGCAUUGUAUCAAAUUUUAGGGAGAGAUUUUAAAUCGCUAGUUAAAAAAUGUGCUGCUCGUAAUGGUUCGGAUGACCGGAGUACCCCAAAAAUGACCUAAUUAGUUGUUUCUUCUUUUUUGUUUUUGUUUUUCUUUUAGGUGAUUUUUUUUAUAUUGUUAAAACACACACAAUAAGUCAUCUGCCAUUAUUGAGGUAAGAAUAUUUGGAUGCAGAGCGAUUUCAAACUGUUCUGGGCCAGAUCAUUUUCAAAUACGCUGCGGCGCCAUUCACCGGUAAAUUUGAGCGCCAACGCGGCAGAAUAAAAUCGGUUCACUAAUGACGUUGCUAGCGGAGGUUGCUUUUAAAGUACCUUGACACGAUAAAACCACUUACAUUAUUUAUAAAGAGUAACUACUUCGCUUUCAUUCUGUGUACAUGGGUUUUUAUCAAUCUUUCUCGCAGCCAAUUAAGCCAGCAUGCAUAGCUGGGAUCCAUUAAUUGUGCAUUUUUAAUUAUUAUUAUUAUUUUUUUUUUUUUUCAUGAAACUGCAUUGAAUCGUAUCGUUGUGGGCUAGAUAGGUAAUGAUGAAUGGGCAUGGGUUUUGUCUGGGCUAACUACACGAGGCCCAUAUGUUUAACCUGAAAUGGGACCUAUAUUGUCAGCCCAUUUGGGCAAAUGUAUAGACUCUAUUCAGCAUUAUUGUGGGCUAACUGAGAAUGGGACAGAAAUGGGCAACACGAAAUGGGGCCCAUGUGGUUUCAGUAUAUUUGGCAUAAAAACUUUUUUCUAAAUGGAAUGAAGGCAUAGUAGUAAAUAUUUUAAAAUCAUGUUUCAUUGUGUAAGUGACAUUUUAAAGCGUUUUAUUCUGUCAUAGUUUGACUGCAAAAAAACAAACUAACUGUAGUUAACAAGUAUUCAGUCUGGUGUUUAGGUCUCAACUAGCCAUUUGUUUGGUCAAUGAAAAUGGGAGCUUUAGAUUUACCAAUGUUUUAAUACUUUUUUUUUAAAAAUUCUAAAGAGUACUAUGGAGAAGCGCGACAAAGGCUUGCAAGGGCAGAAGCAACAUCGGAUCUUCAAACAGAUAAUGAUAUUCCAGAAAAGCGACAUAGAAGGUUGUCAUGGUUGCAGAAAUUGGAGAAGGGUCCUUAGAUGAUGCAGUACAACAAGCUGUGCGAUUCCUCAUGUCCCCUGAAUUGGCCCUCCAGUUCAACCUGUUUGGCCGACAUAGGAAACAAGUUCCGGGACCUGCGUCUCUGAUGUUUUGUAUGGUAAAGAUCAGUUUUUAUAUUCACUUUUUUUCUUGAACAUUUGUUAAUUUUGGUUGUCUUAUGCCUUUUGUUCAUUUUUAGUAAUCUUUUUUUUUUUUUAAGAUUAAAAACUGAGACUUCAAUUUUUGGUUUAAUUCACAUAGUAUUCUUUCACUGUGCUCUCAAGAACUUAAAGAUUUGAUUGCUGACAAAAUUUGAAGGGGCACUUACAAGAAAUGGAUCCAUCCA